UUGCAUGCCAGUCAGGCCAACACAACUCACCAAACCAAGAAAGAAGAAGCGCUGAGGAGAGAGGGUUGUAGAGAGGGGAAGAAUGGGGACGGCCCAGAGGUCUGACCUAUUUAUACCCCAGCCAGGCCCUGCCCAUAGCAGGGGACAGGGGAGAGCGGAUACUGCCUUCCUGCUGUGGGCUGAUGCGAGUCUAGGCAGUGCCUCCCACCGGACGAGGAGGGGACGGACACUCUGACUGCUCACCGGGGUCCAGGUGGCCAGCUCCUUCUGCAGCAGCUCCUUGAGCUCCGCCUGGCAGAGCUUGUAUUUGUCCCCACAGCGCCCUGCAUAUUCCUGGAAGGUGCACACGAUGGCAGCUACCGCCUGCUCCAGAGGCCUGGCCAUCCUCACUGUCACAGAACAAGGGUGUGACUCACAGUAGAGUUCCAGGCCAGCCCCCCCGCUCACCUCUGCCCUCUGUGUUUCUCAGAGACUGUUCCCAGACCCAUCUUAACCUCCAUCAGGCUUCAGGCCCCGCAGUCUCCCCCUCCUCUGAGCAGCCCUCCCAGACCACACCAGCCCCUCCUAAUUUAUCCCCCUGCUGUCCUGUUGUUAUUUCCCCAUGUAGAGGUCUCAUUGCCCCAACAUCGCUGUAAACUCCUCAGAGAGACAGCAUCCUACCCCACCACCCACACACCCCACUGUGGGGCUCCUUAAGCACUCUCAGAUUAUCUGCCACCUCUUCUUAUCCCCAACACCCAGGGGUGGCUCGGUCCCAGUCUGCCCCAGCCCAUGAGAUGCCCUAGAAGCCUCCCUCCCUGCAGGAACUUGCACAAAGAGAACCUGGCCCUGUGCUUCUCUGCCCUCAGCCCUCGGAGAAGCUAGGCCUUAGCAGGGAGGGGCAGGUCUGAGAGGCGCCCCCACAGCCUCACCACCACCCCCCUAACCCUGCCUCCUGCCCUGAACUCAAGGAAGCUGCACCCAGAAGAAAAACUUGUGAGAUCCUCUCUGCCUGUCGCCAGCUGUGCAACCUUGGAAGAGAACCCAAAACCUAGAAGAGCGUGAGAGGGAAAAGAGGAAGGAGAUUGACUCCCAGGCCGGCAAAGAAGCCUUCCUGCCCAUGCAGGCAGCCAGAGAGCCAGUGACACCUUCGACCUCGCCCUCGGCCCCCAGCACCCAAGCCUUGCCUGUGCCGUCCUCUCCUUGGAGACUCAGCCCUGUUGGAGAGGGGAGUGAGCAAUAGAGGAGGGAAGGAAAAGAGGAGCUGUGAUUAGCCCUGUUUUAUAAUGGGCUAUAUAGCCCUGUUUUAUAUGGGCUUUUUAAUGGAAGUAUGGGGAGCAGGGGGCAGAGAACAAGAGACAGUCACGCAGCAGAAGUGGGGGCCAGAGUGCACCAGCAAUUAAUUCAGCUCUAGGUCGAGCUUAAUUAUUCCCACCUAUGAUAUCCCAGCUCUGCCCCCAGCCACCUCCCUUAAGCAGCCUACCUCUGCUCUCGGGGCUUCAUUUUACUCAUCUGUCAGUGAUGGAGGGUGAUAAUAGUAACUACCUCAUAGGUUUGUGCGGGGUUUAAAUAAGCUAAUACAUAUAAAGUUCAUAGAAUAAAUAGUGACCAGCA